UACGUAGGGUGCGAGCGUUGUCCGGAAUUAUUGGGCGUAAAGAGCUCGUAGGCGGUCUGUCGCGUCGGUCGUGAAAACUCGGGGCUUAACCCUGAGCUUGCGGUCGAUACGGGCAUGACUGGAGUUCGGCAGGGGAGACUGGAAUUCCUGGUGUAGCGGUGAAACGCGCAGAUAUCAGGAGGAACACCGGUGGCGAAGGCGGGUCUCUGGGCCGAUACUGACGCUGAGGAGCGAAAGCGUGGGGAGCGAACAGG
rnacentral:rRNA from 1 species